GUCUGUGGCCGUGGCACCCUGAACAUGCCUGAUCUCAUCUGAUCUCGGAAGCUAAGCACGGUCAGGCCUGGUUAGUACUUGGAUGGGAGAAAAAAAAGUGGAUAUAAGUA
rnacentral:rRNA from 1 species